CAGCCGCCGCGGUAAUACGAAGGGGGCUAGCGUUGUUCGGAUUUACUGGGCGUAAAGCGCACGUAGGCGGAUCGAUCAGUCAGGGGUGAAAUCCCAGAGCUCAACUCUGGAACUGCCUUUGAUACUGUCGAUCUGGAGUAUGGAAGAGGUGAGUGGAAUUCCGAGUGUAGAGGUGAAAUUCGUAGAUAUUCGGAGGAACACCAGUGGCGAAGGCGGCUCACUGGUCCAUUACUGACGCUGAGGUGCGGAAGCAUGGGGAGCAAACAGGAUUAGAUACCCCCGUAGUCCCUGUCUCUUAUAC
rnacentral:rRNA from 1 species